GGGAUUCCCGUGUACCCCGCAAACUCCAUUAUUAAAUCACAUAGGGAAUUCCCAUGUACCCCAUAAGGUUUUCAUUAUAUAAUCACUUGGGGGAUUCUUGUGACCCAACAAGGUUUUCAAAACCUUUCAUAACUAUUUAACCAUUCCAUAAGUCACAAGUUUAGAGAAAGUUACCAUUAUCAAGUUCCACCACCAUACCCAUGCACCCACAUGUUCAAAACCAUAUUUCAAACAUGGAAAACAUAAUUAAACCAUGGGAAAACAUCAUUAAACAUUAAGCAUUCAAAGACCCC
rnacentral:lncRNA from 1 species